UGGGGAAUUUUUCACAAUGGGGGAAACCCUGAUGCAGCGACGCCGCGUGAUUUAGAAGGCCUUCGGGUUGUAAAAAUCUUUUUUACGGGAUGAAAAUGACAGUACCGUAAGAAUAAGGUCCGGCUAAAUACGUGCCAGCAGCCGCGGUAAUACGUAUGGACCGAGCGUUGUCCGGAAUCAUUGGGCGUAAAGGGUACGUAGGCGGCCUAGUAAGUUAGAAGUGAAAUAAUAUAGCUCAACUAUAUAAAGCUUUUAAAACUGCUAGGCUUGAGAGAUGGAAGGGAAAGUGGAAUUCCUAGUGUAGCGGUGAAAUGCGCAGAUAUUAGGAAGAAUACCGGUGGCGAAGGCGACUUUCUGGUCAUCAUCUGACGCUGAGGUACGAAAGCGUGGGUAGCAAACAGG
rnacentral:rRNA from 1 species